rnacentral:lncRNA from 1 species
AUUUGUAUUAAUGCUUCCUCUCAAUGUCAUAAACUUAGAAAUUGUGCGAAUUUAUUUUAUUAAAUAUUUUAGGUUCAUGCAUCUAUUAAAAUGUGUUGUUCACAGUGACAACUUUUUAAAGCAUUUUUCCAGACCAUGUAAGCUUUAUAUUUUCCAUAAAAAUAAAAUGGCAACUAUGAGGAAGAGCAGAAAAAAAUGACGUCGGGGGAAAUUUACCACUGUGCCUGCCUCCGCUCCCCUGACCCAUGCUCUGCCCUCACAGCUUCAGGGAGGGGUCAGCACAGAGUGGGAGCGCUGACUUGUCUCAGUCAGCUUUCCACUCUGCAUCUUAGGGACGCCCAGCUCCUCACUCGCCAUGGGCAGUGCAGGGUGUGUGUGUGUGUGUGUGUGCGUGUGCUGCACUCUCUCAGUGUCAGGCAUGUGUGUGCACACACAGUACUCUCCCAGUACUGUGCAUGUGUGUGUGUGUGUGUGCGUGUGCUGCACUCUCUCAGUGUCAUGCAUGUGUGUGCACACACAGUACUCUCUCAGUACCAUGCUUGUGUGUGUGUGUGUGUGCGUGUGCUGCACUCUCAGUGUCAGGCAUGUGUGUGCACACACAGUACUCUCCCAGUGCCGUGCAUGUGUCCGUGUGCACCCACAGUACUCUCCCAGUGCUGUGCAGAUGUGUCUGUGUGCACACACAGUACUCUCCCAGUGCCACAUAUAUGUGUCUGCGUGCACACACAGUACUCUCUCAGUGCCGUGCAGAUGUGUCCCUGUGCACACACAGUACUCUCUCAGUGCCACGCGUGUGUGUGUGUGUGCGUGUGCUGCACUCUCUCAGUGUCAGGCAUGUGUGUGCACACACAGUACUCUCUCAGUGCCAUGUAUAUGUAGGUGUGUGUGUGCACAGUAUUCUCUCAGUGCCAUGCAUAUCUGUGUCAUCUGCACACACAGUACUCUCACUGGCAUGCAUACAUGUGUGUGCACACCCAGGAUUCUCUCAGUGCCGUGUGUGCACAUACAGGACUCCCAGUUUCCUGACCAAGGUGUCAUCAGACUUUCAAUCCAGGACAGUGUUGAUCUGAGCUGCCCGUGCCUGAGCCCCAGACUAUUAAGGAAGUAGCAAAUUA